GAGUGCAGUGGCGCGAUCUCGGCUCACUGCAAGCUCCGCCUCCCGGGUUCACGCCAUUCUCCUGCCUCAGCCUCCUGAGUAGCUGGGACUACAGGCGUCCGCCACCAAACCCGGCUAAUUUCUUUUGUAUUUUUAGUAGAGACGGGGUUUCACCAUGUUACCUAGGAUGGUCUCGAUCUCCUGACCUCAUGAUCCGCCCGCCUUGGCCUCCCAAAGUGCUGGGAUUACAGGCGUGAGCCACCGUGCCCGGCCAAUAAGGGAGAAUUUCUGGAGCAUCUGUAAAUUCUCUACUUUAAGCUGCUUCAAAUAGAAAGCAGCCCUGCUUUUUGUGUUUCUACAAAAGACUGGGCAGAAACCUGCCUGUCCUUCAGGGUCCCAAAUGAGCAGUGUAUGAAGUUCCAGUUUCUUCACAUCUUUGACAACAAUUUCCUAUUAUAUGGCUGGACAGUGGUAACUUAUUGUGGUUUUAAUUUGCAUUUCCCUAAUGUCUAAUGAUGUUGAGCAUCUUUUCAUAUGCUUAUUUGUCAUCUGUAUAGCUUCUUUGGUGAAGCAACAGCUCAAAUAGUUUGCCCAUUUUUUAUUGGAGGUUUGUUUUCUUAUGUAGUUGUAAGAGUUCUUUAUAUAUUCUGAGUACAAGUUCUUUAUGAGAUGUAUCCUUUGAAAUGUUCUUUCCUGGUUGAUGACUUGUCUUUUCAUUAUCUUAACAGUAUAUUUUGAAGAGCAGAAGUUUUUAAUUUUUCUGAAGUUGAAUUUCUUUCUUUCUUUCUUUCUUUUUUUUGAGACAGAGUCUUGCAAUGUCACCCAGGCCGGAGUGCAAUGGCGUGAUCUCGUCUCACUGCAACCUCCACCUCCCGGGAUCAAGCGAUUCUCCUGCCUCAGCCUCCCAAGCAGCUGGGAUUACAGGCGCCCGCCACCAUGCCCGGCUAAUUUUUUGUAUUUUAGUAGAGACGGGGUUUCACUAUGUUGCCCAGGCUGGUCUCAAACACCUGCCCUCGUGAUCCGCCCGCGUCGGCCUCCCAAAGUGCUGGGAUUACAGGUGUGAGUCACUGUGCCCGGCCUCUUUUUCUUUUUGUUUGAGACUGAGUCUCACUCUGUCAUCCAGGCUGGAGUGCAGUGGGACCAUCACAGAUCACUGCAGCCUCAAGCUCCCCGGCUCAAGCGAGCCUUCCACCUCAGUCUCCAGAGUAGCUGAGACUAUAGGCAUGUGCCAUCAUGUCCAGCCAGUUUUUAAAUUUUUUGUAUAGACAGGGUCUUUCUAUGUUGCCAGGGCUGGUCUGGAACUCCUGGGCUCAAGUGAUCUUCCCGCCUCAGCCUCCCAAAGUGCUGUGAUUAGAGGCAUGAGUCACUGUGCCCAGUUUUAAUUUUCUUUUAUGGAUUUUGGUGCUAUACCUAGGAAAUCUUUACCUGACCUAGUAUCACAGACUUUAUUCUAUUUAUAAGAAAUGUUAUAGCUUUAGGUUUUAUGUUUCGGCUAUGAUCCAUUUUGAGUUAAUUUCUGCAUAUGAUAUGAGGUAUGGAUGGGAGUUCAUUGUUUUCCAUCUGGAUAUGCAAUUGUUCCAGCACCAUUUAUUGAAAAGACUAUCCUUGACCCACUGAAUUUUCUUCAUACAUUUGUUAAAAAUCAGUGUCCAUAAUAUGUGGGUGUUUUUCUCAGACUCUCUUGUCAUAGUCAGUUUGGGCUGCUAUGACAGAGCACCAUAAACUGGGUGGUUCAUAAACCACAAAAAUAUUUUUCUCAUAGUUCUGGAAGCUGGAAGUCCAAGAGAAGGUGCCAGCAUGGUAGGGUUCUCCUGAGGGCCCUCUCCAAGUUGUAGAUGGCUUACUUCUUGCUGUAUCUUCACAUAGCAGAGAACAGAGAGGGAAAGCAAGCUCUCUCAUGACUUUAUAAGUACACUAAUUCCAUUAAUGAGGUCUCCAUCCAUACGACCUCAUCUAAACCUAAUCACCUCUCAAAGGUCCCACCUCCUGAUACCAUCAUAUUGGGCAGUAGGGUUUCAACAUAUACAUUUUGAAUAGGACACAAACAUUCAGUCCAUACCACUCAAUUCUAUUGUUUUGUUCUAUUUUUCUAUCUUCACACCAAUAAUACACAGUCUUGAAUACUGUAUAAGUCUUUAUAAGUCUUUAAAUCAGGUAGUAUUUGCCUUCCAAAUUUGUUCUUUUUUUUUCCAAAAUUGUUUUGGUUAUUGCAGUACUUUACAUUUCCACAUAAAUUUUAUAAUCAAUUUGCAAAUUCCAAAAAAAGUCUGCUGGGAUUUUGAUUUGAAUUGCUUUGAAUAUGUAGAACAAAUUGGAAAUAAUUGACAUCAUAACAAUAUUUAGUUUUCUGGAUCAGAACAAAGUAUGACUCUCCAUUUAUUAAGUUAUUCUUUCACUUCUUUCAACAAUGUUUUAUAGUGUUCAGUGUGUAGGCUUUUCACAUCUUAUGUCAGAUUUAUCUCUAUGUAUUUAAUGUUUUUUAAUUAAAAAAUUUUUAUGAAUCAA